GACGGAGGGGGCUAGCGUUUUUCGGAAUUACUGGGCGUAAAGAGCGCGUAGGCGGUUUAGUAAGUUGGAAGUGAAAGCCCGGGGCUUAACCUCGGAAUUGCUUUCAAAACUGCUAAUCUAGAGUUUAGUAGGGGAUGAUGGAAUUCCUAGUGUAGAGGUGAAAUUCUUAGAUAUUAGGAGGAACACCGGAGGCGAAGGCGGUCAUCUGGGCUAUAACUGACGCUGAUGCGCGAAAGCGUGGGGAGCAAACAGG
rnacentral:rRNA from 1 species